UUCCGUAGGGUGAACCUGCGGAGGGAUCAUUACACAAUAAAAUACGAAGGCCGUUCGCGGCUGGACUAUUUAUUACCCUUGUCUUUUGCGCACUUGUUGUUUCCUGGGCGGGUUCGCUCGCCACCAGGACCACAAUAUAAACCUUUUUUAUGCAGUUGCAAUCAGCGUCAGUAUAACAAAUGUAAAUCAUUUACAACUUUCAACAACGGAUCUCUUGGUUCUGGCAUCGAUGAAGAACGCAGCGAAAUGCGAUACGUAGUGUGAAUUGCAGAAUUCAGUGAAUCAUCGAAUCUUUGAACGCACAUUGCGCCCUUUGGUAUUCCAAAGGGCAUGCCUGUUCGAGCGUCAUUUGUACCCUCAAGCUUUGCUUGGUGUUGGGCGUUUUUGUCUUUGGCCCGCCAAAGACUCGCCUUAAAAUGAUUGGCAGCCGGCCUACUGGUUUCGCAGCGCAGCACAUUUUUGCGCUUGCAAUCAGCAAAAGAGGACGGCAAUCCAUCAAGACUCCUUCUCACGUUUGACCUCGGAUCAGGUAGGGAUACCCGCUGAACUUAAGCAUAUCAAUA
rnacentral:rRNA from 1 species